AAGGUUAAGGCAGCCGCCGUAUUCCGCAGCCCAUGGCCGAUCUACCUACCAUCAUCGGCUCAGGUUUUAAUCUGCAUGCCCCAUGUACACACAUGCAAGACAAAACCCUACAAAAUCGAUCCAAGACUUGCCUACAAGUAAGCAGUAACAAAGAGCUAGGUACGUAUCUCAGGUUCUAAUUUUUCUGCCCAAUGUACGCACGUGCACCAUGAGACCCUACAAGAUUGAUCCAAUACUUGCCUUCUAGGAACGUGGUUCAAGUCUUGAUUUUUUUCUCUCCAUAUACACAUAUUCACCACACGUUGCGCUCGAUCUGGAUAGCACUGCAUGUCCACUGUAGAAGAGAAUGUCACCCAUUGGGCAGUAAGAAUUCAGAGACAUUGUACAAGAAUCGAUUAGUGGGCAGCUGGAAGCUAGGGGUAAAUUGUUGGAUUAGCUUUAUUUAGAUGGCUUCAUGGCUUAUUAGCUCACCGUGAAGACUGGUCUAUGGUAAUUAGUGCAGACAUAGACCUGAGUCGACAACGCACAUGACGGCGUGCACUAUUGUACUACCUCCAUAACUAAAUAUAAGAUGUUUUUGGAGUUCAAAUUUGAACUGCAAAAACAUUUUAUAUUUAGUUACACAGGUAGUACGCCGUAUAACCAGAAAAGAAGGACAUGCCGAUGGAUGCUCGAAUUCCUUUUCACAUUCCCCAGGGUCUUGGAGUACCUUCUUUUUAUCUUUUAAUUAGCUUUCCUCUCGACUUAAGAGCCCCCUAUCAACAUCGUCUUCCUCCAACGGUUGCUAGCACCACAAACUCCUAUAUUGACUCUCCUCGAUUGUCAUCCCCAAUCUCCUUUGUCGACUCUCCUCAAUUGUCAUCGGCUCCAUCGAGGAAUCAGACGACCACCUCCAGUAAGUACCUAUAUGCAAUCAAUGGAUCAACGAUACUUCAGUUAUACUCCAAGCUGUGUUCAUUUAGAGAGAUUUCACAUGCCACCUCACAAGGUGGAUCACUGAAUUUGUUUGAUUGCCACAAGGAACCAUGCCCUGUCUAGAUGUCAAUCUACAUUCAUCACUACCACGAGUAAUAAAAUGAUUGUGCAAAAUUUUCCUCUUAUUUCUACCAAAUGGUAUUUAUGUUUAUGGAGGGAAAGUUAUUCAACAGAGAUAGCUCAAGACAAAAGAAAAUACAAACCAAGAGCAGUGCACAACCAGCGACUGGCAAGACUAAGAGGUAAGAAACAAGCUUCAAUCAAAAUCGACAAUAUUAUACCUCAUGAACCUGAUAUUUUUGUUAAGCACGUGAACAGGACUAAAAGUAACACAAAUUUUACCAGGGCAAAAUCAAGGAAAAGGGAAAGAACACUAGAUAUGUGAGCUCUAUUAUAAGUGUGUUUUUUAGAAUGAAGAAGACCAGACAUUACUAACAUUUAAUUGAUGCUAAAUUAAAAAACUUUAACAUGACAUCGGAAAGGAUAGAUAUGGAAAUUCAGAACCUUGGAUAACCAAUAUGCAAGUGUGAAUGAUGUGGUGCAGCCUUGACUGUGAGUGGUACAACAGAAAAUAGAAAAGGACUGGAUAUCAUUGUUCAGUACAAAGACAGGACGCCAAGAAGAAUCUCAGAGAACAAUCCUAAAUUCAUGGCCAAGAAGUAUCCAUUAUUGUUUCCCUAUGGAGAAGAUGGUUACAAAGAAAAUUUACCUUAUACAUAUCAAAAGAAGAUGCAUAAUGCAAGAGAAAGCAUGUAACAAUGCUAGAAUACUAUGUGUAUCAUCUACAACAAAGUAUAAACCAACUGAUGCACUUGAUGAUGUGUGAAAAGCUUACAUUGCAGUUCAUUAUGGAUGUCCUUGCAUGCAUUUUGAUCAAAAGACAUCAAGGAAACCUAAGAAUGGAAUUAUAUGUUGGCUUGCAAGACGCAACAGAGAAAGGAGAUACAAGGGCUGACCAAGUAGGAGGGAGGAUACUGCUGCCAUCAAGCUUCAUAGAUAGCCCCAGAUACAAAGCAAAAAACUACCAGGACGCUAUGACAAUAUGUCGAUGGAUUGGAUAUCCCAACGUAUUUGUGACAUUCACGUGCAACACAGUUUAGUCGGAAAUUCAAUCAAUGCUACAAGAACUAGGCCAAACAGCAUCAGAAAGACCUGAAAUUGUUGACCAAGUGUUCCACAUAAAGGUCAAGGAGUUCAUGAGAGACAUAAGAGAAAGGGGAUACUUUAGAAAAACACUCGCAAGUAAUACCCAACUGCUUGAUCACACCUCUUACUAUUUCUCUAUAGAAAAAUAACUAAAGGUUAUUUUAAAAUUGCAGUUAUAUACACAAUAAAGUUCCAAAAAAGGAAUCUCCCACAUGCCCACAUAGUCAUAAAAUUCAAGACAAGUUGAUCCAUAAUGAUAUGUAGUGGUUGAGAACUACAUGUUGCAUGGACGAUGUGGCAUGGUCGACAACACAUGUAUAAGAAAGUUCCUAAAAAAUAUGACAGCAAUACCACCGUAGGUGAAGAUGGAUAACCAGUAUAUAGAAAACAAGAUGAUGGAAGAUACAUAUAGAAGUGGGAAAUAUCAGGCACACACAAGUUUUUUUCCGAGAAAACGCAAAUGGCUUUUGCGUUUCAUUGCAUUGGAAAGAGAGUGAAUUUACAUCCUCCUAGGAGGCAGUUUUUACACACAACCAACAGAGGCUCAGUGAACAUCCCAGGAUGAUGGCAAAACGACCCUGAGCCCUUGAGCUCCAGCCUUUGCCCAACAUCUGGUCUCGUCUUUAAUCCUGUCUACAAGCUCAUUCAGCGAUGGGUUCACAUAGUCGAAAACACACGCAUUUCUAUGCUUCCAAAUCAUCCACGGCACCAAAAGUGCCACGGAUUUGUGCCCCUUGCGAAGCGCUGGCGGUGUGAAUUCCUUUGCGCGCAGCCACCAAUCCAUGAGCGAGCCGUUGUGCUCGGGCGCCGGCGCCGGCAAGCGCAGCCAAGAUAGGACCUCAUGCCAUGUCUGCUUAUUGAAUGGGCAUGUGAGCAUCAGAUGCCCGAUCGUCUCCGGUUCCUGGUCGCACAGAAGGCACCGUGGGUGGUGUUGCCGGCCACGACGUGCAAGUCUCUCCGCGUUCAGCAGCGAUCUUGACAUGCCAGCCAGUGGAAGAACUUCACCUUGGGCGGUGCCCAGCUCCUCCAAAUGAGCUUCCAGGAGUGGCAGCCCGUCGCACCCUGGAAAGUUGCCCGGUAGCAAGACUGGGCGGUGUAGACGCCGUUGGCUGUCCAGCUCCAGAGCAGCCUGUCCGGCUCAUUGGACAACUCGACAUGCUGCACUAAGUGCCAGAGCUUAAGGUACUGUCCAAUCUCUGGGAGGCCGAGCAGACCAUGGAUGCCACGCGCCCAGCUGUUGCCGGCCAGGGCCUCCGCCACCGUUCUCGAUUUUUGGCGUUGCUUGGGGAUGCACUUGAGAAGCAUGGGCGCGAGCUCGUGGACGGAUUGGCCGCCAAGCCAGCGAUCCUCCCAGAACAGGGUUGUCCUGCCGUCUCCAAUGGCCAUGGUCGUGGAGGCAUAAAAGAGCGCACGCUCCUCCGUCGUAAAUUGCAGGUCCAGCCCCUGCCAAGCUCGAUUUGUGUCCGUGCGCGUGAGCCAUAGCCAGCGCAGCCUAAGUGAUAGCUCCGUGCGCUCGAGGUCCCGGAUGCCAAGGCCGCCAUAUUCAAGCGGGCGGCAAACCCUGCGCCAGUGACGUGGCAAUGUCCACCGUGGGCGUCCGCGCGGCCGGCCCAAAGAAACCCGCGCUGAAUCUUCUCUAAUUGCUUCAGGGUUUUCUUUGGGGGUGCAAGCGCUAGCAGUUGAUGGAUCGGUAUUGCAUUAAGCACCGACUUGACGAGCGCUAGCCGUCCCGCUUUGUUCAUCAGCCAAGCUUUCCAGGAAGGGAGCCGGCCCGCCACCGCGUCGACGAGGGGUUGCACCUGUGCUACGAAUGGGCGGCGAGUGGAGAGCGGGAUGCCCAGGUAAGUGACCGACAGGGCCACGACGGGGCACCCGAGUGGCUCCAGCAGCCCCUCACCGUAGUCGCCGGCGUGAAGGACCGUGGCCGAGCUCUUGGCGUAAUUCACUCGGAGCCCAGAAGCCGUACCGAACACGUCCAAGAUACCUUUGACGGCGGCAAUCUCCUCGGUAGUGGCAUGGCAGAAAAGCAUCACAUCAUCGGCGUAAAGAGAGAUCGCCGGAAUGGCUCGCCGGGGAUGCAGCUGCUGAAGGAUGCCGGUCUGUAGGGUGUGUCGCAUCAGCCUCCCAAGGGUGUCCACCGCCAGCACGAAGAGUUGUUGGGAGGCACACACAAGUUAAGGUAUGCAACAGAUCUCUAUCGAUAAAAUACCUUUAAUAUAUAUAUAACUAAAGGUGAUAACCAAGCGACAACGCUAAUAGAAAACGAUAAGAUCAAUAGGUGCCUCAAGUACACGUACAUAUCAGGCAAUGACGCGAGUUGAAGAAUAUUUCAGUUCAAAAUACACUUUUGACAUCCCUGCAUCGAAAGGUUGCCUUUCCACCUGGAGAAUGAGCAACAAAUCAUUUUAUCUGAUUAUGCAGGUUUAACAAAGAUCGUAAGGAAAGAAAGAGUGGGAAUAACAAAAUUUACACAGUGGAUGGAGACAAACAAGAUCCUGUGAAGCAAGAGAAUUAACAUAUGCAGAGUUCCCGUUAAAAUGGGUAUGGAAGAAAAAAGAGAAAAAGUGGAGCAAAACAAAGAAAGGAAGGUCCAUUGGAAGGAUAUAUUAUGCUCAUACAGCAAAUGCUGAAAAAUACUACAUGCGAAUGCUACUUAACGCCUGCAAAGGAUGCAUGUCUUUCAAAAGGAACCGUAAAUGGAGUUGCCCACACUUCAUACAAAUCUACGUGCGAAGCACUAGGAUUUCGACAACAGAGUGGAUUGAAUGCAUAAAUGGGUCAUUGGACUGGGUGAUUGGCAACCAGCUAAGACAACUGUUCACAACUCUUAUGCCACUGAAGUCACAAGCCCAAAAAUAUUGUGGGGGACAUGCUCAGAAGUUGUAAGCGAACACAUGGAGUAUAGGCAGAGAAGACUAUUGAACUAUCCUACACUUUGACUAACAGAUACACAGAAGCAAGGAUACGCCUUGAUGAAAGUAUAGAUAAGCUCAUGAGACAAGCUGGAAAGACAUUUAAGGAAUACCCCGGAACACAACAUCCGGAUUCUUCACAGAUAAAGGAACUUGGAAACAGACUGCUCAAUGAAGAGAUGAAUUAUAACAAAGAGGAAUGAAAAGAACAUCAUUCCAGGAUCUUUGGCAAUAUGAACUCUGAACAACUACAUGCAUUUGAUUCAGUAAUGGAAUCGAUGAACAAAAAUUUGGGAAAGAAUAUAUUUGUGGACAGCUAUGGCAGGAUAUGUAAGGCAUACCUACUGAGGCAAUCACAACAAAGUUGUGUUCCGAAGGAAAGAUAGUACUAGCAGUGGUUUCACCGCAUAUUGCAGCGCUGCUUCUAUAGGGAGCACACUCGAGGUUCCACAUCCCCCUAUCCUUGCAGAAGAGUCAAGAUGUUAAGGUUCCCACCUGACCUACUAAAAAAGACGUCACUUAUACUAUGGGAUGAAGGUCCAAUGGCAAACAAGAUAUGCUUUGAGGCGCUAGACAGAACCAAAGGUAGGACUAUAUCUGCCUAAACAAGUGUUCACAAAUGGAUAGCUAUACGUAGCAUUAUCAAGAUUCACAAGAAGAGAUGGACAAUGUGUAAUGAUAAAUGAUGAAGAUAGCAAAGAGCAUGAUGUGGUCAAUAACAUUGUCUAUACUGAAAUAUUUUAAAGGUAUGGAAAAACAAAAACACUUUCAGUAUGAUUCUUAGAUAAGAAUAGAUACAUGAAAAAUUUGUACACUUCAAACUAUCUUCAAAAUACAAAUUAAUAGCAUACCAAUGCUAACGUGAUAUGGCAGGACAAAUAUGGUCCACUGCUCUGCGUAUGUACUAGAAACGUGCAUCAACAUUUGAAGGAAAUAGUUAAUCAAUACCAGACAUGUACACUAUGGAGGUGUUUGUUUCGGGGAGAAAUCCCCGGUACCUGUUUACGGAGUAAUCAGAAAACGAUACGCAUGUUUGGUACAUGUACACUGUAAUCGCUUGCCUCCGUUAACGACUCCGGGCCAGCUCUGGAUCGAUACCACCGACACCCCACCGUAAACAAUUCUGUUACCGCACCUCCUCCUCCCACGAUCCCCUUCACCUCAACCGGCGCCGCCGCCUCCCUGGUCCCCAUCGCCUCCCCUCGACCUUCUCCUCCAGGUCCGGUGCCACCGCAUCCGCGGCACGCCCGCCGGCGGGGAGGACCUGCAUCUCAUCUAGGGAUUCUGAAUCUUGAGUGCUCAUCUGCUCUCUCCUGAAAGAACCCAUCGCCGCCAGGCUCGAGCCAGCUCUUCCCGUCUCUGAUGGCCGGCGAGUCACCGGAUGUGCGCCCNNNNNNNNNNNNNNNNNNNNNNNNNNNNNNNNNNNNNNNNNNNNNNNNNNNNNNNNNNNNNNNNNNNNNNNNNNNNNNNNNNNNNNNNNNNNNNNNNNNNNNNNNNNNNNNNNNNNNNNNNNNNNNNNNNNNNNNNNNNNNNNNNNNNNNNNNNNNNNNNNNNNNNNNNNNNNNNNNNNNNNNNNNNNNNNNNNNNNNNNNNNNNNNNNNNNNNNNNNNNNNNNNNNNNNNNNNNNNNNNNNNNNNNNNNNNNNNNNNNNNNNNNNNNNNNNNNNNNNNNNNNNNNNNNNNNNNNNNNNNNNNNNUUUCUUUUCCGCCCUAGAUUCCUUAACAGGCAUGAACCAAACAAAACAAGGAUUUCUCCAUUACAUCCCCGUUACCAGCGUGAUCUCAUUCCUUUACCAUUGACGUUACCACUCUCUAAUCCAAACACCUCCUAUAUUUUCUGAUAUUUGUGGCUUAAUAUAUAGUACAACCCAAUAUUAAGAGCAUCUGUGCAUCAUUAUAAUUUGUAUGUACAAUGCGGUCAGACCUAUUUUACUAUUCUGUUAUUAUAAAUACACUUUUGUCUUUCGGAAAUACUCCCUCCGUCCGAAAAUACUUGUCAUCAAAAUGGACAGAAAGGGAUGUAUCUAGCACUAAAAUAUAUCUAGAUACAUCCUCUUUUAUUCAUUUUGAUGACAAGUAUUUCCGGACGGAGGGAGUAUUAAACUAGAGUUACUCACAAUUACACUGAUUAAUACAUAUAUUUGUUCAAUAUGAAUUGGGGUAAGGUUUAUUAUUUAUAUUUGUUAAAUAUGAAUUGGGGGUAAAGGGGGGCUAAUACUGCCGAUUACGGUCCAAGCCUGGAAAAAAGUGGAGGGGCAUAUAAGAAAAUAAACAUUUUCCACUAACAGUCAGUACCUUAAUUACAUUAUAUUAUUAUAUACAGUCGUACAAACAUAAUAAAAGGUUAAUAAAAAAUAGCAAUCAGGAAAAGGAGAAAGGGGGGACCUGUAGGUCGAACAAAGCAGCCGCUGUGGAGGAUGACGACGAUGUGUCGGGCUGCCUCCACUGGGAACAACGACUAUGCGUCCGGCUCGCGCGCUAGGGAAAGACAACGCUGUCGCAUCCUCACGCUCAAGAUGGAUUCAAGCUGGCAGCGGAAGACAAGAUCCAAGCCCACAUCAC
rnacentral:lncRNA from 1 species